rnacentral:rRNA from 1 species
AGCGAACGCUGGCGGCAGGCUUAACACAUGCAAGUCGAGCGGGCACUUUCGGGUGUCAGCGGCGGACGGGUGAGUAACGCGUGGGAAUGUGCCCUCUGGUUCGGAAUAACUCAGGGAAACUUGAGCUAAUACCGGAUACGCCCUUUUGGGGAAAGGCUUGCUGCCGGAGGAUCGGCCCGCGUCUGAUUAGCUAGUUGGUGAGGUAACGGCUCACCAAGGCGACGAUCAGUAGCUGGUCUGAGAGGAUGAUCAGCCACACUGGGACUGAGACACGGCCCAGACUCCUACGGGAGGCAGCAGUGGGGAAUAUUGGACAAUGGGCGCAAGCCUGAUCCAGCCAUGCCGCGUGAGUGAUCAAGGCCUUAGGGUUGUAAAGCUCUUUUAUCCGGGACGAUAAUGACGGUACCGGAGGAAUAAGCCCCGGCUAACUUCGUG